GACGAACGCUGGCGGCGUGCCUAACACAUGCAAGUCUAACGAGAAAGGGGUAGCAAUAUCCUGAGUACAGUGGCGCACGGGUGAGUAACACGUAGGCAAUUUGCCUUCAGGACGGGGACAACCUCGAGAAAUCGGGGCUAAUACCCGAUGAUGCAGCGGCACCGCAUGGUGACAGUUGUUAAAGGCCCGCAAGGGCGCCCGGAGAUGAGCCUGCGUCCCAUUAGGUAGUUGGUGAGGUAACGGCCCACCAAGCCUACGAUGGGUAGCUGGUCUGAGAGGAUGAUCAGCCACACUGGAACUGAGACACGGUCCAGACUCCUACGGGAGGCAGCAGUGAGGAAUAUUGCGCAAUGGCCGAAAGGCUGACGCAGCGACGCCGCGUGAAGGAUGAAGUCCGUUAGGAUGUAAACUUCUUUUGCAGGGGAAGAAUGUGGCGCCUUGGGCGCCAUUGACGGUACCCUGCGAAUAAGGGUCGGCUAACUACGUGCC
rnacentral:rRNA from 1 species